rnacentral:rRNA from 1 species
CACGUAGGGUGCGAGCGUUGUCCGGAAUUAUUGGGCGUAAAGAGCUCGUAGGCGGUUGGGUAAGUCGGGUGUGAAAACUCAGGGCUCAACUCUGAGACGCCACUCGAUACUGCCCUGACUCGAGUCCGGUAGGGGAGCGUGGAAUUCCCGGUGUAGCGGUGAAAUGCGCAGAUAUCGGGAGGAACACCAGUGGCGAAGGCGGCGCUCUGGGCCGGAACUGACGCUGAGGAGCGAAAGCGUGGGUAGCAAACAGG